rnacentral:tRNA from 1 species
UCCCUGGUGGCUUAGAGGGUAAAUCAUCCACCUGCAAUGUGGGAGACCCAGGUUCAAUCCCUGAGUCAGGAA